rnacentral:rRNA from 1 species
UCUCACUCUACUCCAUUCACUCCCCUCCCCUCGCAGCCGCCCCACGCUCCUCUCAGCUCUCGCCUCUCCCCCCGCCUCUCCGCCGUCGCCGCCGCGGGGCUCCUCUCAGCUCUCGCCUCUCUCCUUUCCCCUUGCUGUGUCGCCUCCCCUCGGCGCCGCCGCCUCGCCUUGCCUCGGGUCUCCGUUCCACCUAUUUUUUUUUUACUUUUUGCUCCAAGCCAGCGACGAAUCCCCGGAUCUGGCGUCAGCGAGGAAGGAUACGGUGGCUGCGAGGACGUACACGCCGGAUCCGGGCCAGCACAACCACCAGAUGGGAGCUGCGGCGGCUGGACACCUUCGAGGUGCUGCCGCGGGCAGGAGAAUAUCGCUGCAGCACCCUUCGCCGCUGCCAAGCUCCUGGCGCUGGUGGACGCGAGACCCCAAGUUGCCGUCCACCACGAGGUGCUGCUACGGGUAGGAGGAGCUGCUGCCGCACACCACUAAGUGAUGCUACGGGCAGGCGGAGGUGUGACCACGACGACGUACCAGACAAGGAGAGGCGCAGUGAAUGAGAAUGUUGGCUUAGAAAUUCAGAACAUCCAAGAAGUGGUCGGGGGACUGGUUUUGAACCGACGACAAGCUUGUUGGCGGGCAUCUGGCAGGAUCGGUGAACAUCCUCUACAUGUACAAUACCAGCUCAGGCAAUUAUUAGAACUCUGUCAGUUAGUUAAGCUCUUGUGAUCAUUGAAAGGGAGGGGGGAUUAAGGUGUUUCCAUCAACAACCAUUUAUUGGUCGAGUGGACUCAGAACUGGAUUCGUACUGAAAAAUCAGGGUUGGCAUCAUGAUAACAAGCAUGGUCACCUUAAGUCUCAACUCUGAGCCUCCUCUUGGAAAAAAUGCCCGCAUUCCAAACAAGUCCAUUUACAGACUCUAAACCUCCUCUAUGAGCACCAAGUAGACACUCUCUUUGCUAUGUUUUGGCACAAAGAGCCAGACAUCAAGUACUACGUGUGCACAAUCAACAGGACAUUUGCCAAACCAGGCCAGCGCAUGGUUAACUAUACUGAAGAGAACUUGCAGGACUACAUUGAUCCAAACAAUGAUACACUCAUGGUCAUACUUGCAGACCGCCAUCUGCUCGCCGAAUGUUGCAUCAUGCUAGGAAUGGACAAAAGGGCCACUAUAACCACCAACUGGCCUGAGUUUUGUCGCCGCGCCAACAUUCGCGAGGGAGACAUAUGUGCAUUUCGUUUCAGGAUAACUUCAAAGCGCCGCCUGGUCCUCACCGUGCACUACCUCUAGAUGCACCAUCGAAGAUGAUGCAGCCCCUGUGUCAAUAUAAUCUAGCAUUAAGUACUCCUAAUUAUGUUAUAUCCUGUGAUAACCUAUCGGUUGCUUUUGGGUCCUCUUAUCACAUGCUUUUCAAGACACUAAACCUACGUUGCUGCUUAUGUUAAGUGCACUAUUGUCAGUCAGAUGUUUCAUGUUCAGAUCCAUAAUGAGCUUUCUCUGUAAAG